rnacentral:tRNA from 1 species
CCCUUCGUGGUGUAGUGGUCAGCACGCAGACGUGUAGUCUAGAGGGCCGUGGUUCGAGUCCCGGCGAAGGCG